AAUAGAUGACGCCGUUGACUUUUUCUCACAUGUUUGACCAUUCGUCUUAUUCAAAAAAUUUACGUAAUUAUAAUUUAUUUUAUUAUGAGUUGUUUUAUCACUCAUAGUACUUUAAGUGUGAUUUUAUCUUAUACAUUUGCAUAAAGUUUUUAAAUAAGACGAAUGGUCAAACAUGUGAGAAAAAGUCAACGGCGUCAUCUAUU
rnacentral:pre_miRNA from 1 species